AGGACGAACGCUGGCGGCGUGCUUAACACAUGCAAGUCGAGCGGAAAGGCCCUUCGGGGUACUCGAGCGGCGAACGGGUGAGUAACACGUGUGCAACCUGCCCCUGGCUCUGGGAUAGCCUCCGGAAACGGGGAUUAAUACCGGACAUGACCUGGGACUGCAUGGUUCUGGGUGGAAAGUUUUUCGGCCAGGGUGGGCUCGCGGCCUAUCAGCGUUGGUUGGGGGGGUGACGGCCCACCAAGGGCGACGACGGGUAG
rnacentral:rRNA from 1 species